rnacentral:rRNA from 1 species
UAGCCUACGGGACGCAGUAGUGGGGGAUAUUGCACAAUGGGGGGAACCCUGAUGCAGCGACGCCGCGUGGGUGAAGGAGUAUUUCGGUAUGUAAAGCCCUAUCGGCAGGGAAGAAGCAAGACGGUACCUGACUAAGAAGCCCCGGCUAACUACGUGCCAGCAGCCGCGGUAAUACGUAGGGGGCAAGCGUUAUCCGGAUUUACUGGGUGUAAAGGGAGCGUAGGCGGCUGUGUAAGCCAGAAGUGAAAGCCCGGGGCUCAACUCCGGGACUGCUUUUGGAACUACAUGGCUUUAUU